GCCUACGCGCGCCCCUCCGGCGCUUGUCGCAGAGGCUGCCGGGAGACGUAGUCUUGUAACGCUCUCUCGCCGGACAUUCCUAAUGGUUAGCGCCCAGCCUGUGAAGAGUCGGGGGUCGGGGAGGGGGUCUCGCUAAGAAGGAGGUUUGCAGACCAUGGCAAAGGGUCUUGCUCUGUCACCCAGGCUGGAGUGCAGUUGCUCUAUCAUGACUCACUGCAGCCUCAAAUGCUUGGACUCGAGCAAUCCUUCAGGCUAAAAGGUUUAUGAAGACAUCUGUCUUGUCCGGCAUCAUAUCCUGGGACCCACAAAGUGACUGAAAUAUAUCUGGUGGUCAAUAUAUAUUUGCAUCUUUCAAUUUAGACCGGCCACAUUUCAAGUGCUCAAUAGCCGCAUGUAGCUAGCGGCUACAAUAUUGAACAGUGCAGCUCUGGAAAUUUAAAAGUGAGUAAGAUAUGAUCCCUAUUCUCAACAUUUCACAAAGGGAAGUCUCAUCAUGUAAACAGAUAAAAUAUAGUACAAUUUAUGUGGCAAGGUAAUAUUUUGAGAUAAAAAUCAAAGAUUUUCUUUCCCGGGAGUUUCUUCUUGCUCUUUGUUCUUCCACCUAUUGAGUCCUUGCUACUUCUUAUUAAGGGCGAAAAGGAUAAAGAUGAGAACAAAGUCUAUAUAUAAAUAUAUGUAUAGUUUUUUGAGAACUGCCUGCUGGGUGCAGUGGCUCACAUCUGUAAUCCCAGCACUUCGGGAGGCCGAGGCGGGUGGAUCACGAGGUCAGGAGUUCGAGACCAGCCUGGCCAACAUGGUGAAACCCCGUAUAACUGUAUGUAUAUAAUUGUAUGUAUCUAUAUGUUUGUGUUUACAAGUACAUAUAUAUAUAUGUAAUUAUUUUUAAUUCACAGAAGAGAGUAUGGUCUUGAAAUUCUGGCUUUCAGAGUUAGCUUUUCUGAGAGGAAAAGGGCUUUUUGAACCAAAAGCUAAAAACCAGAAGGAUUCAGAGCAUGGGUUGUUUUUUUUUAUUAUUUUAUUUUGUUUACCAUAAAUGACAGAGCAGAGAGUAAUACAAAAUAUUCUAAGAACAUUUUUCUCAUUUCAAGACAAAUGAAAGUUCUUUCUUCCAGCUGGUGGG
rnacentral:lncRNA from 1 species